GCUUCGGUGGCUUAGUUGGUUAAAGCGUAAGUCUCAUAAUCUUAAGGUCGCGAGUUCGACCCUCGCCCGAAGCAC
rnacentral:tRNA from 1 species